rnacentral:rRNA from 1 species
AUGAAUAUUGCCCUCCUUUCCAAAUGGCUCUGGCGCAUCUAGACCGGCAAGGGUGGAUUGUGGCUGGAGAUUAUCCGUGCAAAAUACCUACGCGGGCAGCCUCUGGCGUUCGCCUCUAGAUUGGGAGGGUCCCAAUUCUAGCAGUCGGUGAUCCAACUGAUGUCGGUCCUACGUAUUAGGACCUCCAUCAAGGUGGGCACCGGCAGUGGGACUCUCUUCUGGCUGGACAGAUGGUCCGGCUCUAGACCUUUUGCGGAGCGGUUCUACGCUCUAUUUUCUAUAUGUGCUCGCCCACAACUUACGGUGGACGCGGUGUUGGCAGACGUUAGCACCAUUGCCUUCCGCCGUACCUUUGGGGGGCGGCGGAACAUGCCCAAUGGGAGGAGUUGCUUGAGUGCAUUGCCUUGCACCCUCCCUCCCUAG